GACGAACCGUGCGAACGUUAUUCGGAAUCACUGGGCUUAAAGCGCGUGUAGGCGGGCCGGCACGUCCGAGGCUGAAAGCCCCGGCUCAACCGGGGAAGGGCCCGGAUACGACCGGCCUGGAGGCGGGUAGGGGGCCGGAACUCACGGGUGGAGCGGUGAAAUGCGUUGAGAUCGUGAGGAACGCCCGUGGCGAAAGCGGGCCCCUGGGCCCGGCCUGGACGCUGAGACGCGAAAGCCAGGGAGCGAACGGG
rnacentral:rRNA from 1 species